AACGUAGGAGACAAACGUUAUCCGGAGUUACUGGGCGUAAAGGGCGUGUAGGCGGUCUGUUAAGUCUGGCGUGAAAGCUCUCGGCUAAACCGGGAGAGGUCGUUGGAUACUGGCAGACUAGAGGACGGUAGAGGCGUGUGGAAUUCCGGGUGUAGUGGUGAAAUGCGUAGAGAUCCGGAGGAACACCAGUGGCGAAGGCAGCUCGCUGGGACGUUACUGACGCUGAGACGCGAAAGCGUGGGGAGCAAACAGG
rnacentral:rRNA from 1 species